AACGAACGCUGGCGGCAUGCCUAACACAUGCAAGUCGAACGCGACCUUCGGGUCUAGUUUCGCACGGGUGCGUACCGCGUGGUAACCUGCCCUUAGGUUCGGUAUAACUUCCCGAAAGGGGUGCUAAUACCGGGUAAUGUCUUCGGACCAAAGAUUUAUCGCCUUUGGAUGGGCCCGCGUUGGAUUAGCUAGUUGGUAGGGUAAAAGCCUACCAAGGCGACGAUCCAUAGCUGGUCUGAGAGGAUGAUCAGCCACACUGGGACUGAGACACGGCCCAGACUCCUACGGGAGGCAGCAGUGGGGAAUAUUGGACAAUGGGCGAGAGCCUGAUCCAGCAAGGCCGCGUGAGUGAUGAAGGCCUUAGGGUUGUAAAGCUCUUUUACACGGGAUGAUAAUGACAGUACCGUGAGAAUAAGCUCCGGCUAACUCCGUG
rnacentral:rRNA from 1 species